CCAGGGUGUGGGUGAGGGGCAAAGGCGGGCUGUAAGCACUGGAGAGGCAGGCCCAGCUCUGCGCAAGGGCACACACCUCCUUCCUUUACACACUCAAUACAAGAAGCUUUAAAUCCUUAUUUUGCUGGUCAGGGCAUAACCUGGACCAAACGGGAAAUUCAAGGCAAAAUAAAAGCAGGGCAUUAACUUGGACCAAAUGAGAAAUUUAAGGCAGCCUCUCUGAAUUAAAUAGUUUAAAAAUCUGUCCAUUUAGUAAUAACUGCAAAGUUUGGCCUAGAGACUAAAACAUCUGCUUCCUGAUUUGGGGGUGGGGAUGAAGGGGAGUGCAAGGUAGAAAAGGGCGGGAAAAUGAAGACCUAAAGAAAGAACAGGCGGGCAGGACGGUAACAGGCACCGCAAGAGGCCAGUGAAUGAGACCGAGGCGGAGGCGCGUGCGCCAGCCCUCCGCAUGCGCAGUCGCAAGCCUGGUGAUCUCGCGGGAAAGAACCGUUGCGGGCCCGACUUUGCGCGGAGGUAGGAGGGGGGAGUGGAGGCGGGAGUGAAGUCUCGCGAGAAGAGUCGGUUGCCGUAGCAGAGCCCUCUAGCUGUGUGUGUCUGAGGCUCGGCCGCCGGAGCCGAGGACGGUUUGCUGAGCCCGUUAGUGCGCCCGACCGAGACAAGCCGCCGCCAUGUCCCGCUACCUGCGUCCCCCCAACACGUCUCUGUUCGUCAGGAACGUGGCCGACGACACCAGGUCUGAAGACUUGCGGCGUGAAUUUGGUCGUUAUGGUCCUAUAGUUGAUGUGUAUGUUCCACUUGAUUUCUACACUCGCCGUCCAAGAGGAUUUGCUUAUGUUCAAUAUCCUUUCUUCAGAUGGCUGAUUAGUGAGGGGUGUUGAAGUUUGAAAUUCAAGUUUAUAGAAUGUAAAGCUGUACAGUUAUGGCGACCCCAAAGAGAAAGCAUGAAAGAACCUUUAGAGUAGAGUUCAACACUUAAGGCAAGUAGACAAGCCAAAGACCUCUUAAGGAUCAGGCUUGAAGAGAAGGGAGAGUUUGGGAAAAGAAAAAAUAAAGAAAAGCUGGAAGAAGGACAAGCCUAAUGGGAGACAAAGCCUCGCUUUAUCUACAAAAGGGGGAAAAGGUUGUUUUUCAAAGUUAAAGAUAAAGCCAUCUGUCAUAUUUGGCCAAGCAUCUCAUGACAAGUCCUUCUGACAAGCACUUAAAGAGUUAAAGGUCAAGAUGAAGUUGAAUGAUGGCCAAGAUUAAAGGAGUCAUACCUGAUCACAUUUGAGGAUGUUCGUGAUGCUGAAGAUGCUUUACAUAAUUUGGACAGAAAGUGGAUUUGUGGACGGCAGAUUGAAAUCCAGUUUGCCCAGGGGGAUCGAAAGACACCAAAUCAGAUGAAAGCCAAGGAAGGGAGGAAUGUGUACAGUUCUUCACGCUAUGAUGAUUAUGACAGAUACAGACGUUCUAGAAGCCGAAGUUAUGAAAGGAGGAGAUCAAGAAGUCGGUCUUUUGAUUACAACUAUAGAAGAUCGUAUAGUCCUAGAAACAGUAGACCGACUGGAAGACCACGGCGUAGCAGAAGCCAUUCCGACAAUGAUAGACCAAACUGCAGCUGGAAUACCCAGUACAGUUCUGCUUACUACACUUCAAGAAAGAUCUGAAAGCGGAAAAAGAACCAAAGAAGGGCAGUUCAAGCGACCAAAGGGUGGGUGGAAGGUGCUGCAGUAUGAAUACUGUACGAAUAUUUUGACUCUGGUCUGAAAAGAUAAAAGAAUGUUAUCGAAAACUACAUGGAAUAAUUGAAGUCCCUUCAAGUUUGAAAGUAAGCAUUUUAGGACAAAUAAAAGGAAAUUCAACUUUGUACUUGUGGAAACUAAUCCCUAAAUAUGAAUAGGUUUAUAUUGAUUCAUGGGUAACAGGUCCAUAAUAAAUUAUUGGAAACUAGGAUGUCUGAAUAUCAAGGAAGACAGCCAUAGUCUCUUACAGUGCCUCUGUUGGUCUGUCUCAAACUGAAUUGGGUGGGAAAAGGUAUGGUCCAAUAUAAAAGUUCCAUUUUUGCCAUUAUUGGCAAAUCUUGCCUUUGUUUAUUUUGGUGCCAGUGUUUUCUGCUUAAUCAUUUGCUUUGUUGGCAUCUGUGUUUAUUUACUUGUAUACACCACAUGCAGUUUACAUCUUUCUUUAAGUACUCUCCUUCCCAGGUAAAUUCCAAUUAUAUUUGACAUCCAGCUGAGAGGGCCCAUCUCUUCUCACCUCUUUCCUAGUCAGUAUGUUCAGCAAAUAUUUAUUGAGCCCUUACUAUGGGCAAAUCAUUGUCCUGGAUAAUUGAGGAGAAAAAUAGAUUAUUCCCUUUUUCAGUAAAUGUCUACUGAGCACAAUCUAGUGAAUCAUUACAGUAUGGCCUCAUUGCUUUGUUUGAGGUAUAUUAUUCAUAACAAUAUUUUAUACCAUUCGUAUCAAUGUAAUUAUAGAACACAAUAUACUAUCAAAGAUAAGUAAUUGUGUGGUUAUCUGCCAUUUAAAAGUAUCCAGUAUUUGAUCACAUUAUUACAAAUAAUGAAAAAAUGAUUUGUUUUAAUCUGUAAUAAACUGGUUUAUUGUGCAGUGACUGUAAUAUACUAGAGUUAUAUUAAAUUGUUUACUCUGCCUCACCAAACACAUACUAGGAUAUAACCCCCAAGAUAAGUAUUUAACUUUGCAUUAGAUAUAAAGGAGACUGGGUGCUAUAAUUAGAUUAUUUUGAGGCAGACAGCUGUUAUCCCAACUGAUUUAGUAUGUUCUGUAAUUGAGAAAAUGUUCACCAAAUUAUACUUUUUAGUGAUUUACAUGUACAUUUUAUAGGGGACAUGUUCUGUGUAUAGCGAAUAAAUAACUUUUAUAGUAUCACAAAAUGUUUUGGAUUCCUUAGUUUCUUAUUAGGAUAUGAUGUUUCUUUACCUAUACAUUGAUUCCAUCACAUUUUAUUUUUGUCAUUUUUGCCACAUACUUAAAACUUUCCAUAUAAAAUUAUUAACUAAAAAUCUGGAAGUGGAGUCUUAAGCUUUUAAUUUAUAGCAAUUUUGAAAAUAUAGCAGAGGUAUAUUUUCAAGGGAGGUAUGAAAUGGAGGUAUUUUUGUUCAUAUUUUAUUUUAGGAAUUUUUUUUGAACUUUUCCAAGAUCACACAGCAAGCGUCAGAUCCUAGGUUACAGCCCAUAAUUUUUCACUUGUUUCAUCUUUUGUUACCAUGUUUGUUGUUGUUUAAUCAAAUGGGGGAUUGUUUUUAUAGCUUUAUUUUCCUGGAGAUAGUAAAAUUGAUAUAAUGGGAUCUAGAAUUUACUUAGAGCCAAAAUGACUAGAUUUAAUCACAAAAAGUAUUUUGUAUACCGUUACACACUCAUUAACAUAGUGGGUUCUUAGGACAGAGGUUCUGUGUGUUUUUAAAAGAAAAUGUAGAGGUCAUAGACUUUUUUGCCCUCUACCUCCCUUCUCCAUUUCCUUUUGAAGUUAAGACAUUUAAGGGGGAGAGAAUUAAGUUGCAUAUUGAGUUGGGAUUUUGUUUUUAAAAAAUUUAGGUAAAUACUUAUGUAACUACAAUAACAAUAGUUGGUAGUUCUCUAAAGUAUUUAAUUAUGGUAAAUCAGAAAAGGCCCUCUUUAAUUUUUACAUCUGUUGAAUGAAUUGCUUUAGGAUCUCUUCUGUGGUUCUCUUUGUACUGAAUGCUGUCAAUAUUAUUGAGCACUUACUGUGCUGAACCAUGUGCUUUUCAAAUAUUCCUAUUUAAUCCUAAAAACACUCCUGGGAAAUGGGUAUUGUUCCCAUUUUACAGAUGAGAAAAGUGUGCUUUGUAGAAUACCCAUCAUGUGAUAGCUUCCUGCAUAUGCUAUUCAUUCCUCACAACCUUACAAGGUAAAUGGAUAAUGUUCCUGGAUGAGAGAUUAAAUGUAAUCCAAGAUCUCAUGGUUGUGUGGCUCAGAGAUUCUAAGCAUGGCUUUCCAAAUCUCAUUCUCUUGUAGAGAUUUUCCAUUGUAUUGCAUUUUGACCAUGUUCCUGUUUACAAAACCUGAGAUUAUAUUCUGAAGUAGCUGUGACUUGAGCAAUAGCUCAGGAAUAAUCUGAUGGCAUUCUACUAGGAAGGAGGACUAGCAAAGCCUAUAGUUAGCCUAUCCUAGGCAUGAACUAUUCUCAUUUUAGAUUGGAUGACUUGAUAGGAAGAAGUGAGCAACCUGUUUGCCUUCAGUUAUUGGUAUCUACAAGACAUUCUGCUAGUCACUGUGGAAAAGGUUCCUUCUCUUGGGUUUUUUCCUCUGCCCCUUCCUCUAACAGUAUUGGUUAUCUUUAUUAUGUUUCUGUGUAUUUGUAACAGCUGUUUCACCCUUGUAUUGCACAAUGGGAAUUUUUCUUGGAAUAAAAAGUGAGGCAUGUAAAUUCAUUGAGAACUAACCAUAGUUUGUAAAGAAGUAAAAGGCCUUUGUAUCUAGUUUUUUGCAGAUCACAUUUCUUUGAAUGCUGGAAAGUGAAAUAAACUGGUCUAGGAGCCAAAAA